AUUGAACGCUGGCGGCAGGCCUAACACAUGCAAGUCGAACGGUAACAGGAAGCAGCUUGCUGCUUCGCUGACGAGUGGCGGACGGGUGAGUAAUGUCUGGGAAGCUGCCUGAUGGAGGGGGAUAACUACUGGAAACGGUAGCUAAUACCGCAUAAUGUCGCAAGACCAAAGAGGGGGACCUGCGGGCCUCUUGCCAUCGGAUGUGCCCAGAUGGGAUUAGCUUGUUGGUGGGGUAACGGCUCACCAAGGCGACGAUCCCUAGCUGGUCUGAGAGGAUGACCAGCCACACUGGAACUGAGACACGGUCCAGACUCCUACGGGAGGCAGCAGUGGGGAAUAUUGCACAAUGGGCGCAAGCCUGAUGCAGCCAUGCCGCGUGUAUGAAGAAGGCCUUCGGGUUGUAAAGUACUUUCAGCGGGGAGGAAGGGAGUAAAGUUAAUACCUUUGCUCAUUGACGUUACCCGCAGAAGAAACACCGGCUAACUCCGU
rnacentral:rRNA from 1 species